ensembl:misc_RNA 7SK 7SK RNA
GAGUGUGAGUGCGAUCUGGUUGCCUUAUCUAACAUCUCAUUGAUUGCCAGCGUGAAUUUGGCUGAUCUUGCUGGCUAGGCAAGUGUCCCUUUUCCCCCCGCACUAUUCCAUGUGUGUCCAUCCAAGGCUGUACGCUCACAUUUGCUCAAAGAAGACAACCUGCCCCAGUAGAGAAGGACCAUCCUCAGGCAGGGGCAUACAAGCAGCUGCGCAGUCCUGCUAGAAUCUCCAUACAAGCUGAUAAGACCCACUCAUAGGAGAGCGUAGACCAGUCACAUUUCCAAGACUCCAGACACAUUCAAGUAAGAGGCUGCUUGUGACAGCCUGCCUUGCUUU